rnacentral:rRNA from 1 species
UACGAAGGGGGCUAGCGUUGCUCGGAAUCACUGGGCGUAAAGGGUGCGUAGGCGGGUCUUUUAAGUCAGGGGUGAAAUCCUGGAGCUCAACUCCAGAACUGCCUUUGAUACUGAAGAUCUUGAGUCGGGAGAGGUGAGUGGAACUGCGAGUGUAGAGGUGAAAUUCGUAGAUAUUCGCAAGAACACCAGUGGCGAAGGCGGCUCACUGGCCCGGUACUAGUGACGCUGAGGCACGAAAGCGUGGGGAGCAAACAGG